AUUAUCCUUCUUCUCUUCCUCCCUCGAUCUUCUUCGCACGAGAGCUUCGAAGCUCUCCCAUAUCGCAAACUGCCAAGACCCAAUGGUUACCUCAGCCGUUCGGAGCCCCAAGCCUUAUCUCCGGCCACCGUACCUCAUCUCUCACGACCGAACCUCUCAUCCUUUAACCCGAGCAGCUUCAAACACCGUUAAUAGUGAGGAUUCAACUCCGGCCACCAUUUGAGCUACCUAAUAACACCUAAUCUAACCUUAACAUCAACCUCCUUCCUCUAACUCUAAUUUCCUACUUCGCAGCCAAACGCCCUUUAAGAAUUCGUCACCACCGUAAAUCAACGCUACAUACCCAUUGACCUUAAGGGAAUUCAAAAGACGAUGAAAUGGGAUUAAUGAAAAUUCCAUAUGUGUUCGUCAACACAGUUUCUUUGUUUUUGGUAUGAUGUUGAUGGGUUAGGUGAAAUCAUUAAUUGUGCUUGACUUUGGUGCAUGUGACUUGAUUAAUUCGAUUGAAAUGGCCCGAGCUGUUGGUGAGGAUAAGAUCUUGUCGUUAACACAGAGGCUAAUUGGAGUUGGUGGUGGCUUUAGCUGAUGGCUUUUAGGGUUUUAUAACCCUAAUUCAACUGGGCCGGGUCUACUAUUUGGAUCUGAAUUUGGGUCUUGGGUGUUGUUAUCUGCUGGGCUGCUGAUGCUUGUAAUCUGGGCCAAAGUUGGGCUUCAGGUUAACUGUUGUAAC